CGGACAGAGCCGGCGUAUCUGGCCCGCAUUCAGCUGUGCGCUCGUCAGCUUCGGCYGAYCGCCUCCAGAUUGGGGCGGCCAGCCGUUUGCUGGCGGGCUUGCAGUGCAUUUGCGGGUGGAGUGCGCCGAGACGCUCGGGGCAGCGGCACAAGCUCGGUUCAGAGGCCAACUUGUUUGGAACCCGUGCCGCGGGRAGUGCUGUUUGCUCUGGGUGAGCAGUUGGGGCGGUGGUUUCGGGCCCGGGUGGGUGCCGAGCCGGUGGUCGGUGGCGGUCGCAUGCGACACGUACCGGCGCCCGGUUCGGUCCUGCUCGAGCUCUCAACCGUGCGUUCUCGGUGUAAAAGCCGGUCAUCUGUCCGACCCGUCUUGAAACACGGACCAAGGAGUUUAGCGUGUGCGCGAGUCAUUGGGCGUUGAAAACCCAGCGGCGCAAUGAAAGUGAAGGUCUCCCUCGUUGGAGCUGACGUGUGAUCCUGGCCACCGCGGUGUGCCGGGCGCAACAUGGUCCCGUUCUGGCCGCAUGCGGCGGGGCGGAGACAGAGCGUACGCGCUGAG
rnacentral:rRNA from 1 species